ACACGUGGGUAACCUGCCUGUAAGACUGGGAUAACUCCGGGAAACCGGAGCUAAUACCGGAUAGUUCCUUGAACCGCAUGGUUCAAGGAUGAAAGACGGUUUCGGCUGUCACUUACAGAUGGACCCGCGGCGCAUUAGCUAGUUGGUGAGGUAACGGCUCACCAAGGCGACGAUGCGUAGCCGACCUGAGAGGGUGAUCGGCCACACUGGGACUGAGACACGGCCCAGACUCCUACGGGAGGCAGCAGUAGGGAAUCUUCCGCAAUGGACGAAAGUCUGACGGAGCAACGCCGCGUGAGUGAUGAAGGUUUUCGGAUCGUAAAGCUCUGUUGUUAGGGAAGAACAAGUGCAAGAGUAACUGCUUGCACCUUGACGGUACCUAACCAGAAAGCCACGGCUAACUACGUGCCAGCAGCCGCGGUAAUACGUAGGUGGCAAGCGUUGUCCGGAAUUAUUGGGCGUAAAGGGCUCGCAGGCGGUUUCUUAAGUCUGAUGUGAAAGCCCCCGGCUCAACCGGGGAGGGUCAUUGGAAACUGGGAAACUUGAGUGCAGAAGAGGAGAGUGGAAUUCCACGUGUAGCGGUGAAAUGCGUAGAGAUGUGGAGGAACACCAGUGGCGAAGGCGACUCUCUGGUCUGUAACUGACGCUGAGGAGCGAAAGCGUGGGGAGCGAACAGGAUUAGAUACCCUGGUAGUCCACGCCGUAAACGAUGAGUGCUAAGUGUUAGGGGGUUUCCG
rnacentral:rRNA from 2 species